CGAACGCUGGCGGCGUGCUUAACACAUGCAAGUCGAACGGGCUGAAGUGGUAGCUUGCUAUUAUGGAUGCUAGUGGCAAACGGGUGAGUAACGCGUAGGCAACCUGCCCUUCAGAUGGGACAACACUUCGAAAGAGGUGCUAAUACCGAAUGACGUAUCCAUUCCGCAUGGAGAGGAUACCAAAGGCCGGGCAACCGGUCACUGAAGGAUGGGCCUGCGUCUGAUUAGCUGGUUGGUGGGGUAACGGCCCACCAAGGCGACGAUCAGUAGCCGGUCUGAGAGGAUGAACGGCCACAUUGGGACUGAGACACGGCCCAGACUCCUACGGGAGGCAGCAGUGGGGAAUCUUCCGCAAUGGGCGAAAGCCUGACGGAGCAACGCCGCGUGAGUGAAGAAGGUCUUCGGAUCGUAAAGCUCUGUUGAAGGGGACGCACGGCGUCUACUACAAGACAGUAGAUGAAUGACGGUACCCUUCGAGGAAGCCACGGCUAACUACGUG
rnacentral:rRNA from 1 species